UACGUAGGUGGCAAGCGUUGUCCGGAUUUAUUGGGCGUAAAGGGGGCGCAGGCGGUUCCUUAAGUCUGAUGUGAAAGCCCACGGCUCAAACGUGGAAGGUCAUUGGAAACUGGGGAACUUGAGUGCAGAAGAGGGAAGUAGAAUUCCAUGUGUAGCGGUGAAAUGCGCAGAGAUGUGGAGGAACACCAGUGGCUAAGGCGACUUUCUGGUCU
rnacentral:rRNA from 1 species